rnacentral:rRNA from 1 species
GACGAACGCUGGCGGCGUGCUUAACACUUGCAAGUCGAGCGGAAAGGCCCUUCGGGGUACUCGAGCGGCGAACGGGUGAGUAACACGUGAGUAACCUGCCCCAGACUUUGGGAUAACCCUCGGAAACGGGGGCUAAUACCGGAUACGACACAGCUUCGCAUGGGGUCUGUGUGGAAAGUUUUUCGGUUUGGGAUGGGCUCGCGGCCUAUCAGCUUGUUGGUGGGGUGAUGGCCUACCAAGGCGACGACGGGUAGCCGGCCUGAGAGGGCGACCGGCCACACUGGGACUGAGACACGGCCCAGACUCCUACGGGAGGCAGCAGUGGGGAAUAUUGCACAAUGGGCGGAAGCCUGAUGCAGCGACGCCGCGUGAGGGAUGACGGCCUUCGGGUUGUAAACCUCUUUCAGCAGGGACGAAGCGUAAGUGACGGUACCUGCAGAAGAAGCCCCGGCCAACUACGUG